rnacentral:lncRNA from 1 species
CUCAGCACCUCUGCCCUCAAGGCCAAGCUGAGGGGCCGAAACCGCUCAGCUGAGGAGGGGGCAGCAGCAGGGGACAGCAAGGUCACCCCCCACAAGGACCCCCACGUGCAGCGCUCCAAGUCCUGCAAGAUUCCUGGCUUGAGUGGGAAACCCCUGUCGCUGCCCCCCAAGCCGGAGAAGUCCUCGGGGUCCGAAGCCUCACCCCCGCACUGGCUGCAGGCGCUGAAGCUGAAAAAGAAGAAACCUUGAGCGGGGUGAGUGGGGGCGCUGGGGGGGCCCUGGGGACUGACCCCAGACCCCUGGGGCAGGGCG